CUACGGGUGGCUGCAGUGAGGAAUAUUGCACAAUGGGGUGAACCCUGAUGCAGCAACGCCGCGUGGAGGAUGACGCAUUUCGGUGUGUAAACUCCUUUUAUAUGUCAAGAAAAUGACGGUAGCAUAUGAAUAAGCACCGGCUAACUCCGUGCCAGCAGCCGCGGUAAUACGGAGGGGCAAGCGUUACUCGGAAUCACUGGGCGUAAAGGACGCGUAGGCGGGUUGGAAAGUCAGGUGUGAAAUCCUACAGCUUAACUGUAGAACUGCACUUGAAACUUCUAAUCUAGAGUAUGGGAAGGGGAGAUGGAAUUAGUGGUGUAGGGGUAAAAUCCGUAGAUAUCACUAGGAAUACCUAAAGCGAAGGCGAUCUCCUGGAACAUUACUGACGCUAAGGCGUGAAAGCGUGGGGAGCAAACAGGAUUAGAUACCCCCGUAGUC
rnacentral:rRNA from 1 species